CCUGCGGGGAAUGGCUGGUAGCCGUUUUAUUAUUAUUUAUGAAUUCAUCAGAAAGGAAUAAUGACCUCUAAUUAAAGCCAGAAAAUUACUCCUGGAAUAAAUUGCUAAAGUCAGGAGAAACUGGGACAGGAGCAGGUGAAGUGAUUUGCUCCUGGUGCUGAAACAAGCCACCAUGGGAAAGACUGACAGACUCUGUGAUUUUCUAGGCUCACUCAGCUCAGCGGGGUCACGCCACACCUGAAGUCUCUUCCCCUCAAUCCAGGAAAUUCCCGUGCCUGUAAUUACUGGCGAGGGGCACAGCGGCUGGCCUAUUGUACGAGCCAUGAUGAAUGUGGACCGUGAGCCGGGGGAAGGAGCAUCUCCUU